rnacentral:rRNA from 1 species
UACGUAGGGGGCAAGCGUUGUCCGGAAUCAUUGGGCGUAAAGCGCGUGUAGGCGGCCUGGUAGGUCAGUUGUGAAAACUCGAGGCUCAACCUCGAGACGCCGAUUGAAACCAUCAGGCUAGAGUCCGGAAGAGGAGAGUGGAAUUCCCGGUGUAGCGGUGAAAUGCGCAGAUAUCGGGAAGAACACCCGUGGCUAAGGCGGCUCUCUAGUACGGUACUGACGCUGAGACGCGAAAGCGUGGGGAGCGAACAGG